UUUCUAGGAUGGUCAUUCCACACCUGUGCUUGCGGAAGUGGCAAUGAUGCUUAGGUUGAUGAAUGCACCGCGAUGUCCAAACAUCAUCAGAUUACACGACUGGAUUGAGAUUGGGAACAACUUUGUUCUCAUUCUGGAGUAUGCAGAGUCAUGCCAGACCUUGCAUGAGUACAUCAAAGAUACAGGGGAAGUUGAAGAAAAUCAAGCACGCCGGUUAAUACGUCAGUUGAUCCGAGCUGUAAUGUUCUGCACUGAGCGUGGAGUUUUCCAUGGUGAUAUACACACGGCGAACAUCCUGGUGACUCUACCCCGACUAGAGCUCAAACUGAUAGACUUCGGGUGUGCUCAGCCAAUUACCCAAGAGCCUUUCAACAAAAGUGACUAUCGAGGUGAGUUGGCAUUUUGUGUUAGUUUCUUUGGUCACAGUAUUGUCUUAUGAAAUGACUGAAUUCUGGAAAUGUCUCUCUUACAGGAGCUGGACAAAGCAUGCCACCUGAGGCUUUGAUGUGUCGUGUAUUCCAUGCUAACCCGGCAUACGUCUGGACAAUAGGCAUCAUGCUGUAUGAAAUAAUGCAUGGACGACUGGCCUUUAAUAACACACAUUCAAUAGUGUUUGGCUCCAUUCAUAUAAACACCAGAUUAUCUACAGCAUGCGUGGACCUGAUUUCCCAGUGUUUGAUCCGUAAUCCAGCUAAACGGCUACAGUUACACCAGGUAGAAGAGCACUGCUGGUUCAAUCCAACGACCCCAAAUCCUGUGAAGCAGUUAUACAAGAGGAG